rnacentral:tRNA from 1 species
GCCGCCGUGGCGGAAUGGUAGACGCUGUGGAUUUAAAAUCCAUUGACCUUUGGUCGUGCGGGUUCGAGUCCCGCCGGCGGUA